rnacentral:rRNA from 1 species
GACGAACCGUGCGAACGUUAUUCGGAAUCACUGGGCUUAAAGCGCGUGUAGGCGGGACGGCACGUCGGUCGCUGAAAUCCCCCGGCUCAACCGGGGAACGGGCGCCGAUACGACCGCCCUGGAGGGGCGUAGGGGGACCUGGAACUUCCGGUGGAGCGGUGAAAUGCGUAGAGAUCGGAAAGAACACCAACGGCGAAAGCACUCUGCUGGGCCGACACUGACACUGAGAGACGAAAGCUAGGGGAGCGAAUGGG